GGGCGCGUAGCUCAGCGGGAGAGCGCUCGCCUCACACGCGAGAGGUCGCAGGUUCAAAACCUGCCGCGCCCA
rnacentral:tRNA from 2 species